CGUGGCACUAGAGUGUACUAUGGUAUUUAUACGCACACAGAUAAUCCGCAAGCGCACGGAUACCGUUGAAGCUUUUACCCGGUUAAAGGUUUUAUCGUAUCCACAGGGAAAUGGGAGAACCAACUACGCUCUAACUUAAUCCUAGAUAGAUAAGUAAAUGUAAAUAGGAAAGAUGGUAGAAUCGAAUAAGAACAAUAAUAAAGGUAAGAUAACAGUGAGUGAUAAUAUGGGAAUAGAGAGUAGAGCAAUUCUAGUAUAUGGGCGAUGGUAGCAGAAUAGAGAGGAUAACUAUGGUUUCUCUACUUCAAAGGGGUAUGUCUAUGUCUGGGACGAACCACGUGAUAAGAGUACACCACAAAGGAUGCUUAUCCAUAGGCCGAUAAACCCUACCCGUCCUGCUAACGAGAGGUGGACUACAGGGGACCAACGUAACUAUCACCUAUGCGGCCUACCACACGAUCCAGCUAGUCAGGGGAUUUCCACAAGUAAUCUAGGUCUAAGCACCACGCUUACACCUACACUACAACUCUAACCUAUAGGGUCCUAUAGAUUAGAAGUACUCAAAAGAGUUGUGAACCAGAACAUACAUAAUUAGUAAUUGCAUAAUGAAUUAGAAGUAGAUUACCAGAGUCAUCCCAUGAGCAAGCUUGAUUAGAGCUUGAUCAUGGCGAAGUACAACCGGAGGAAGAACCGACAGGCCGGCCUCUCCUCUAAUCCUCCUUCGCUCUCCAUCUCGCUACUAUCUAGAUCUACUCUAGUUUAGAGAAGAGAGGAGAGCUCUCAUCUCUAAACCCUAGCUUUUGCUCUGUCUAUGAAUAAUGAAUAAUGAUCAAGGGGUGCCUCCUCCAGGGGCCAGGGGGUCUGGUUUUAUAGUCGCCUCAAGUGAACCUGGGCCGUCGGAUCAAACCGACAUUGAUUGAACGGUUAUUCUUGAUCCUUUAGGUCGGUGGAGCAUAAUCCGCGAGAUUGAGCGUGAUUGGCCGAAAAAGGUGGGCGGGCGCCCUAAGGACUUGGGCGGCGCCCUGUCCCUGACUCUGUUCGGUCUCCGCUUCCUUCCCAUGGCUUCUGGAGUCUUCUAGAUGUAAGAUAAUUGCGCGGCACGUUGAUAUCUCUAUGUAAUCCCGACGUGUGGGCCUUUCUUCCUUAUUUCCUGAUAACCCCCUGCAGAAAUAGACAAACACCAAAACUCGUGGAAUUCUGUCAAAUAAAACCCUAAGUCUCGAUGUUGAUUUCAUUUGGAUCCUUUUCUUUGUUUAUUUGAUAGUAUAAUUUGAUACUUAAGGACCGUCAACAAACUCCCCCAAGCUUACCUCUUGCUCGUCCCUGAGCAAGGAUAGACUCAGCUAUGGAUCAUAAGUUGUUGCAAUAUCUUUAAAAAUUGACGGUACAUGUUGACGGUCCUUAAUGCUCACAUUUAACUAUCAACUAAUCAUGGAAAAGGAUCUAAAUAGAACCAACACCUAGACUUAGGGUUUUAUCUGACAGAAUUCCACGAGUUUUGGUGUUUGUCUAUUUCUGCAGGGGGUUAUCAGGAAAUACGGAAGAAAGGCCCACACGUCGGGUUUACAUAGAGAUAUUAACGUGCCGCGCAAUUUUCUACCAUCUAGAAGACUCCAGAAGCCAUGGGAAUGAACGGGAGGCCGAUCGGGCUCGGAGGCAGGGCGCCCGCCCAACUCUCCUGGGCGCCCGCCCAGCUACAGUGUCCAAUUCGGACCCGUUUCGCGUAUUAUGCUCCACCGACCUAAAGGAUCAAGGAAAACCAUGCGAUUAAUGUCGGUUUGAUCCGACGGCCCAGAUUCACUUGAAGGGACUAUAAAACCAGACCCCCUGGCCCAUGGAGAUCAUACCUCUUAUACAGAAUCAAAGCUAGGGUUUCAAUUCUUCAUCCAAGUAGAGAGGAUCCCUCUAGUUCUUCUAGUUCUAGUUCCUCUAGUUCUAGUUCUAGUUAGUUCUAGUUGUAAUCUAGAAAACAGGGAGAGAGAAGAGGAGAGCGGAGGAGGAGCCGGAUCUGUCGGAUCUUCCUCAACAUUGUACUUUCGCAGCAUCUGGUUCGUUCUUCAUCGUUCUCCAGGUUCUUCAAUUCAUAACUCCUGAGUUCUCUAAUUACCUUUAUUUACAUUCAAGUUAUUUAUUGGAUUCCCGCUUGCAUCAAGUGCUCUAAUCUUUGAAACAUUAGAGUAGUAAUUAAUAGAUUAGACGUGGUGUUUAGUCUUGCAAUUACCUGGAAUUGCACCCAAUCCCGCGGAUUGUUGUCGUAGCCUUAGUGUAGUGACAGCCCUAACGGUCGACGUAUUCCACCACGUUCGGAUCAGUGUUUGUAGGACCGUAGUCAGACCUUCCUAGCCCCCUUCUCAUCUCUUUCUGUGGUUGGUGCUCUGAUGUCCCGAUAUAGAUAAUCUUGAAGUAAUUCUUGAUUCUUAGAUCAACUAGAGAACUCUCAGGAAACUUCCUCUCUUCCCACCAAAAAUAAUCAUAUAGUUAUCCUUGGGCGAUCUUGGAUCUUAAUUAGUACACUCACGUUCUCUGUGGAAAAUCGAUACUCUGGAAUACUCCCGGGUGAAGGCUACAUCGGUAUCCAGGCGCUUGUGGAUUUUUCUGUUUGCGUUUAAAAUACCCAACAGUACACAUGCUUUUAAAUGAGGUCUCAUCUCUGAGUUAGAGUAAACUGUCAAGACUUAAAACUUACUUACUUUACCUUUCACCAUGGGACUUGUAACCGUCACUUCUGUCUUGAGUGGUUAAAAGAUAGAACAGUCCAGUCAAGUGCCAUGUCGCUUAUUCUUGAUCAGCUAUAGCUCUAGAGUUUUUUGCAGAUUUUCAAAUAAAACUCAGAGAUUCCUUUGUAUGACUCUCUCAUAUCUCUCUUUUGUGGUAUUUCUAGAUCCUUACCAAGGCAGUGAUGGUAUAUGCCUUCUCUCAAAAUAUGUGGUAUUUGUGGUAUAAGGGAUAGUGACAUUGUCUUCUCUCUCACCCUACUCUAAUAAGGCUUUAAUAUCUGGAGCUCAUAGGUGGGAGAUAAAAUAUACAUACUUACAAGACAUUUAUUGUAUAGUCAAACCAUGGAUCCAAAGAAACAAAUCAGUAAGCCAAAUCAAGAUGUGCAUGUGUGGCGAAUGAAUAGUGUAUGGUGAUGAUGGUGAUAACAAUGGUGAAAGUCUAAUUCUACUUUUGCUCUUUUGAGGGUAUACAUACCUUCCUUGCUUUUUGAAACUUUAUGAGGAGAAUGAGAUGCUCUUCUUUUUCUUUUCUCUCAGAUGGGUAUCCUGUACCCCUAAUUCUACUGUCGGACACUUGUCCAUUUUUACCUCUCGUCUCACUCUUUUUCUUUUCUUUCGAGGUUCCGGACACUUGCCCCUUUUUAUUUCCUCGUUUAUAUAUUUUUUUUCUUUUCUCUCUUUUUUUUUCUUCUUUUUUUUUCAGAGCACUCAUCUCUUAAGAUAAUAUAGCAAGUGGUAGUAGCAAGAUAACUCGAGCAUUUAUUUCACAAGGGAAAAACAUACAUGUUUUUGGAUAUUCUCUCCCGAAUUAGGAGUAGAAUAUUUUUAGGUGAUUCUGGAGAUGGAAAUGGAUGGAUAUAUGUGGAUGGUACUUCCGGAGUAGAAGUAGCAUAUAUAUGAGUGAACGUGCAAGUGAAUCUUGAUUUAACCACAUGACAAGCUCCUAAGGGUCUACCCAGCUUGACCACACUCAAUGCUCAUAAGCAGUAAAUAAUAAAUGUGUGGCUCAAAGUCUAGCGAGCAUGUAUAUAUGGCUGUGGUAGGAAUUUAAACUUUCAUCAUACAGGAACUCAUGUAUAUAUGGCUGUGGUAGGAAUUUAAACUUUCAUCAUACAGGAACUCAUCAUGCAACAUUUUAAAGAUUUUUCAAAGAUAAAAUUCUCCAGAAUUCUAGCAUCUCUAGGAACAGAUAAACAGCAGCUCAACCUUCCCAUAUCAUAUCCGUUAACAACUUAGAUUUCAGAUCAAGUUUUCAUCCCACAAGUUUAGAUCUAGAGCAAGCUUUAAAUUAUAACAGUUAUGUCUAAACUUGAGAGAGAACUUCAAAUUUGCAAAUUAGGCAGAGCAACUAUUCAUCAUAUCCAUGCUAGAGUUUUAUUAUUAAGAUUCAGAUUAGCAUAGCCACUUUAUUUACUAAGCAAAAGAUAUAUAUAUAAGCACAAAAUCUUUAUUUGGUUUCUCAUAGUUUAUGUAUUUUAAUAUUCUAAUAUAAUAUAAGUAUAAAGGUAGGUAGAAAUACUUAGCGAGAUAAAUGGGGGUGCUCUCCCACAAGCUGAAUUUUGACGUAAUUUCUCUUGAUGUAGCUAGCACGUGGCAGAGGUGUAUUUGAAAGUCAGCAGCAUUCUGACAGCGAUUAGAAUGUCCUCCGUCUGCUAGUCUUCUUGAUUCUUAAAUUUUGUGGAGCUCAAAUAGACAACAAAGCUUGUGGAACUAAUUAAGUGUUAGCAUAAAUAUCUAGCCUUCAUCACGUUGAGCUUCCUCAAUAAAUAUUACUCCCUGUUUUUAUAUUUUUAUUUUAUAAAGUAGAAAAGAAAUAUUUAUUUUAUUUUUAUGCCACCACAGUGAAGGUACUUAUGGGUUUUAUGCCACUCGUAUACUCACAUGGGGCUUAGUAUUUUUUUAACAUUUUUAUUUUCUUUUCAAGAUAGCAUGAUUAACUAAUAAUCUAUUUAAGGAAAGUAAAUAAUUAAAUGGAAAAGGGAAUGCAGAAAGGAUAAAUAUGGAUAACUACCAAUCUUACCUUUCGGCGAGGGUUCAAUGUUUUAAGUCUUCUUGUCAAGACUUCUCAUCGUGUUCAUUCUUCAGGUGCGGACCUUGACGUCUGCACCUUUUAAUACGGUGUCACCCAUGUUCUUCGUUUGCCCAGCAGUUCGAAGUGCGGUGUUAGCAGUAUCUUGCUCAGUGUGUUUGUGCUCGUAGUGUACCUGCUCAUAGAGACAAGGCAGAGAUCAAGUGCAUGGGCCCUGUUGGUGGAAAACACCAACAGAACCAAAAGUGUAUUUGUUCUUCUCUAACCUUAAGCAUAGUGAGCAAGACAAGUUGAUGGAUGAUAAGUUCAUGAGUGUAGCACUUAUAACAUUUGUCAGAUCAGAUUGCUCAACCUUAUGGAAAGAUAAUCUAUCUAUGUAUAUGUCUUUUUCUUUAUAUCUCUCAAUGAUUGAAUGUGUAACAUUUUAGCUCAUAUGAUUAUGAGUGUGGGAUCAUGGAGGUAGUACUAAGAACAAGGAUUAAAAGACUAAACAUGUUGAAUCAGUUGGGUUGGUUAAUCUAGAGUUGUAAAUCAUACACGUUUGUCUCUUUUAUUUAUAUGAACGCUAGAACCAAGGAGAAGCUUAUAAAAGUGAUAGUCAAGUACCUUAAGAUGUUACCUUGCUCGAAGAGUGAUGGUACAGUAUCAUCUUGUGGAAGCUUUCCUUUCUUAGCGGUUGUGCGUCGUGUUUGUGGCAGCCUCCAUGGAUCAUCUCUCUAUGAUGAAUGAGCUAUGUCCUUCUUGUGCAAAUUGUUAAACUUCAUGUGUCACUCUCUUCGUCUCUGAUGUGAGUUUAUCUCAGGACUUCCCAAAUCGAUAUUGAAAGUUUUUCUGCAGGGGUUAGUCCGACAAAAUAUACCAAUAUCUACUCAAGCAGUUUUUUUAGUUCAAUAACCAAACUAGACUCCAUGUCUAAUCAGAUUAAGGAAGGCUAUUUAACCUAAGCACCAUGCUUAAUUUAAAUGCCAAUGGAAGUAUGGCGAGUACUUCCAAACCAACACUUGCUAGUAAAUAGACAAAGGUAGCAUGACAGCGUUUAUAGAGAUCUACUCAAGUGGAGAUGAAGUAGUGUGAUUAGUAUUUAACAAAUUGAGCAUGUCUCAAAGGUAGGGACAACCAGCAUAGCAACAUGGCAAAGGAUGUUUUUAUGUAAACUACUCCCCCAAGCUUGAAUUUUGCAAAAUUCAAGUUUGGAUGAAUUUAAUUCAAUGUUGUAUGAUGAUUGGUUGGACAUACCUUGUGCUUGUCAUUCAUCCGAUCUUCUUGCUCCAAUCUUAGAAAGGUUAGUGACAAGAAUACCCGAAGGAAUAUUUUUUUUACAAUUAUCCUUAUAUGCUCAAUACACAAGGUAAUGUUGCAAAUAAUUAAAGGCUCAUGUUACGAUCUGAUCAAUGCUUAUUUUAAGACACUAAGCUUGUCCUUGGGAAACCAUCAGUUUAUGUUGGCGAAGUGGUUUCCCCUCCGACGCCAACCUAUAUCUAGAUCAACUCAACGAGAUCUGCAGUAUUUAUUAUAGACAUAUGCAUCGACAACCGCCCUUUUAAAGUUUCUAUAAAUAGAAAGGAAGAGGGGGUUGGAGAUCUCAAGUGUGGUGAUGUCAGAGAGACCAAUAGAUUGGGAAGAUGUUGCAUAUGAGCAUGGAGUAAACGAAGUGGCUAUGAAAUAAAUUCCAUGCUCAUUAAUGUUAUCUUCGUCUCUAAUCUGAAUGUUCGGAGUUUCUCCUGGAUUGGUCUCACCUAUGUCCUCUUCUGUAGUUGGAUGAAUCUCAUCUUCAAAGGGAGUCAAGAACUCACCAUUUGAAAUUGAGCCAAAGUCAGAACCCAUUAAGGCUUCUUCCUUAUCCAUCCAUUCUACACAUUCUAGCCAUUUAGAACUUGUGAUCAAAAUAGGGGAGGAGUUAGAAUUUUCUAUAUGGCUUAGCUCUCCUUCUAUGGCAUUACUUGACAUGCCAUCCUUAUGGUCUUCAUGACUCCUAUGGUUUGGUCGUCUUGGUGAAUUGUUAGGAUCAUCAUGAGACUGAAAAGGAGAGAGAUAAGAGGGAUCUCUAAGGUCAAGGAUGGAUUUAGAACUUGUGAACAUGGAAGGGGAGUAGAUAGAAUUGUCUAUAUGGUUUAGCUCUCCUUCACUUGAUAUGUCAUCCUCGACUUCUUCAUGAUAGGAACCAGGACAUUCUAUAAGAGAAACAUUAUUGCAAUGAUUUGAAUUAUCCCUGCUUGAAGGUCUCUUAUAGAACCAGAAGUCUAAACCAUCAGCAUCUAAAAGAUUUAAGGUCGGAAUUCCUUCCUCCCUUGGAGAAUUUUGGGGUAUUGAUGGUUUAGGAUCGAUAGCUAAAGUUUGGGAUUGAAGUGGUUGUGAUCUGGCUAUCGACACUUCUUCUUCUUGUCUAGGAACUGGUUCUUUCUCUUUCUCAGGGAUAUAAAAGCUAGGAGACUUUCCGCUCAUUAAAUCAAUCAAAUUCCAAGCUUCACUAGCGGAUAGGUGGUGGAAAGAUCCUCCAGAGGCCGCAUGAAGGGUUUGCUUACUUUUCCUAAUAAGGCCCUCAAAAAAGUGAAUUAGAAGAACUUCUUCUGGAAUAGAAAGUUUUGGGCCAGUGAGAGUAAGGUUAAUAAAGCGGUCCCAUGAUUUGCCAAGAGAUUCUUCUUCCAGUUGUCUAAAAGAAAGAAUCUCACGCCGAAGUUCCACCACUUUGGGGAUUGGAAAAUAUUUAGAAAGAAAACUACUAUAUAACUCCUUCCAAUCUCCAUGAACACUCCCUACUUUGAGUUUAUACCAAUGUCUAGCUUUUCCCGUUAAAGAGAACGGAAAGAGCUUCCAUUUAAGGGUCUCAUCGGACAUGCCUUAUAUGCGAAGGAGGUCACAGACUCGAUAAAACUCUCUUAGGUGUGUGUAUGGGUUUUCCUCACCUUUUCUUGAGAAAGGUUGUUUUUGAAUAAAUUCUAUGUAUUCGGGGUCUAUCUCAAAACUAGAUGCUAUGAUAGGCUUUGAAGAUUUUGGUGGUUCGAGAUGUGUGCCCAUAGGUCUAUGAAAUUCAUAGAUAGACAUGUUUGAAUUCAUAAUAGACCAGAAAUCAAGGAUUAGAUAAGAAGAAAGAAUAGCAGAGAUGAGGUAAAGGAUAAAAGGAAAAUAUUUUUUUAUUUAUUUAUUUUUUAUAAAAUGAUUAUCUAGUUCGUAGUCAACUCAGCAACCGUUUCCCCGGCAACGGCGCCAAAAAUGCUUGUUGACACUUGCUAACACCACUUGAAUACUAGGUUGUCAUCCCCAGCGUGGCACUAGAGUGUACUAUUGUAUUUAUACGCACACAGAUAAUCCGCAAGCGCACGGAUACCGUUGAAGCUUUUACCCGGUUAAAGGUUUUAUCGUAUCCACAGGGAAACGGGAGAACCAACUACGCUCUAACUUAAUCCUAGAUAGAUAAGUAAAUGUAAAUAGGAAAGAUGGUAGAAUCGAAUAAGAACAAUAUUAAAGGUAAGAUAACAGUGAGUGAUAAUAUGGGAAUAGAGAGUAGAGCAAUUCUAGUAUAUGGGCGAUGGUAGCAGAAUAGAGAGGACUAUGGUUUCUCUACUUCAAAGGGGUAUGUCUAUGUCUGGGAUGAACCACGUGAUAAGAGUACACCAGAAAGGAUGCUUAUCCAUAGGCCGAUAAACCCUACCUGUCCUGCUAACGAGAGGUGGACUACAGGGGACCAACGUAACUGUCACCUACGCGGCCUACCACACGAUCCAGCUAGUCAGGGGAUAUCCACAAGUAAUCU
rnacentral:lncRNA from 1 species